AAAUAUUAUUAAAUAUGGAAUAUUAGUGGAUCCUAUUCAAAUACUUAAAAUUUUUGUUCAUCGUCCAUCAAAGUCUCCUACAGUUCUUCUGUUGCUAGGACUAAAUAUAUUUAUUUUGGGAUCUCUGUUGAUUGAAUUAAUGAUGGCUAAAG